UCCGUAGGCGGGCUUAUAAGUCAGUGGUGAAAUCCGGCAGCUUAACUGUCGAACUGCCAUUGAUACUGUAAGCCUUGAGUAAAUUAGAAGUGGCUGGAAUAAGUAGUGUAGCGGUGAAAUGCAUAGAUAUUACUUAGAACACCAAUUGCGAAGGCAGGUCACUAUGUUUUAACUGACGCUGAUGGACGAAAGCGUGGGUAGCGAACAGGAUUAGAUACCCUGGUAGUCCACGCUGUAAACGAUGCUAACUCGUUUUUGGGUUUUCGGAUUCAGAGACUAAGCGAAAGUGAUAAGUUAGCCACCUGGGGAGUACGUUCGCAAGAAUGAAACUCAAAGGAAUUGACGGGGGCCCGCACAAGCGGUGGAUUAUGUGGUUUAAUUCGAUGAUACGCGAGGAACCUUACCAAGACUUAAAUGGGAAUUGACAGCUUUAGAAAUAGAGCCUUCUUCGGACAAUUUUCAAGGUGCUGCAUGGUUGUCGUCAGCUCGUGCCGUGAGGUGUUAGGUUAAGUCCUGCAACGAGCGCAACCCCUGCCAAUAGUUGCCAUCAUUAAGUUGGGGACCCUAUUGGGACUGCCUACGCAAGUAGAGAGGAAGGUGGGGAUGACGUCAAAUCAUCACGGCCCUUACGUCUUGGGCCACACACGUAAUACAAUGGCCGGUACAGAGGGCAGCUACACUGCGAAGUGAUGCGAAUCUCGAAAGCCGGUCUCAGUUCGGAUUGGAGUCUGCAACUCGACUCUAUGAAGCUGGAAUCGCUAGUAAUCGCGCAUCAGCCAUGGCGCGGUGAAUACGUUCCCGGGCCUUGUACACACCGCCCGUCAAGCCAUGGAAGUUUGGGGUACCUGAAGUCGGUGACCGUAAAAGGAGCUGCCUAGGGUAAAACAAGUAACUAGGGCUAAGUCGUAAC
rnacentral:rRNA from 1 species